CACGUAGGGGGCAAGCGUUGUCCGGAUUUAUUGGGCGUAAAGAGCUCGUAGGCGGUUCGGUAAGUCAGGUGUGAAACCUCCAGGCUCAACCUGGAGACGCCACCUGAUACUGCUGUGACUCGAGUCCGGUAGGGGAGCGUGGAAUUCCUGGUGUAGCGGUGAAAUGCGCAGAUAUCAGGAGGAACACCAGCGGCGAAGGCGGCGCUCUGGGCCGGAACUGACGCUGAUACGCGAAAGCGUGGGGAGCAAACAGG
rnacentral:rRNA from 1 species